GCAUAUCAAUAAGCGGAGGAAAAGAAACUAACAAGGAUUCCCCUAGUAACGGCGAGUGAAGCGGGAUGAGCUCAAAUUUAAAAUCUUGCAGCCUCAGGUUGUACGAGUUGUAGUCUAGAGAAUCGUUUUCCGCGUUGGCCUGUGUACAAGUCCCUUGGAACAGGGCGUCAUAGAGGGUGAGAAUCCCGUCCUUGACACAGACUACCAAUGCUUUGUGAUGCGAUCUCGAAGAGUCGAGUUGUUUGGGAAUGCAGCUCAAAAUGGGUGGUAAAUUCCAUCUAAAGCUAAAUAUUGGCGAGAGACCGAUAGCGAACAAGUACCGUGAGGGAAAGAUGAAAAGCACUUUGGAAAGAGAGUUAAACAGUACGUGAAAUUGUUAAAAGGGAAACGAUUGAAGUCAGUCAUGCUCUCCGAGACUCAGCCGAUUCUGUCGGUGUACUUCUCGGUUGGCAGGCCAGCAUCAGUUUCGAUCUGUGGAAAAGGUUGGAGAGAAUGUGGCAUCUUCGGAUGUGUUAUAGCUCUCCUUCGAAUACAUAGAGCGGGACUGAGGAACGCAGCGUGCCCUUUAUUGGGUUGGCCUUCGGGUACAUACACGCUUAGGAUGCUGGCAUAAUGGCUUUAAACGACCCGUCUUGAAACACGGACC
rnacentral:rRNA from 1 species